GACGAACGCUGGCGGCGUGCCUAACACAUGCAAGUCGAACGGAGAAUUUUAUUUCGGUAGAAUUCUUAGUGGCGAACGGGUGAGUAACGCGUAGGCAACCUGCCCUUUAGACGGGGACAACAUUCCGAAAGGAGUGCUAAUACCGGAUGUGAUCAUCGUGCCGCAUGGCAGGAUGAAGAAAGAUGGCCUCUACAAGUAAGCUAUCGCUAAAGGAUGGGCCUGCGUCUGAUUAGCUAGUUGGUAGUGUAACGGACUACCAAGGCGAUGAUCAGUAGCCGGUCUGAGAGGAUGAACGGCCACAUUGGGACUGAGACACGGCCCAAACUCCUACGGGAGGCAGCAGUGGGGAAUCUUCCGCAAUGGACGAAAGUCUGACGGAGCAACGCCGCGUGAGUGAUGAAGGAUUUCGGUCUGUAAAGCUCUGUUGUUUAUGACGAACGUGCAGUGUGUGAACAAUGCAUUGCAAUGACGGUAGUAAACGAGGAAGCCACGGCUAACUACGUGCCAGCAGCCGCGGUAAUACGUAGGUGGCGAGCGUUGUCCGGAAUUAUUGGGCGUAAAGAGCAUGUAGGCGGCUUAAUAAGUCGAGCGUGAAAAUGCGGGGCUCAACCCCGUAUGGCGCUGGAAACUGUUAGGCUUGAGUGCAGGAGAGGAAAGGGGAAUUCCCAGUGUAGCGGUGAAAUGCGUAGAUAUUGGGAGGAACACCAGUGGCGAAGGCGCCUUUCUGGACUGUGUCUGACGCUGAGAUGCGAAAGCCAGGGUAGCGAACGGGAUUAGAUACCCCGGUAGUCCUGGCCGUA
rnacentral:rRNA from 1 species